rnacentral:misc_RNA from 1 species
GACGGAGGAGGCAAGCGUUAUCCGGAAUUAUUGGGCGUAAAGCGUCCGCAGGUGGUUCAUCAAGUCUGUUGUCAAAGCGCGGAGCUUAACUUCGUAAAGGCAAUGGAAACUGAUGGACUAGAGUUCGGUAGGGGUAGAGGGAAUUCCCGGUGUAGCGGUGAAAUGCGUAGAUAUCGGGAAGAACACCAGUGGCGAAAGCGCUCUACUGGGCCUGAACUGACACUGAGGGACGAAAGCCAGGGGAGCGAAAGGG